rnacentral:ncRNA from 1 species
GCGUUUUUUGAAAGGAGACAAGGUUAGUACUCCUCUUGACAGGAGUACGGAAAAUGGACGGAAAAUGGCCUUUGGCCACGAACAUAUAUACGGUUAAAGCACUACCUCUACUCUGCGGCAACUUAACCAAAUUUUCAA